GGAAGAGUGGCUGAGUGGUUGAAAGCGCGGCUCUCGAAAAGCCGUAAGGGAGAAAUCCCUUCGUGGGUUCAAAUCCCACCUCUUCCN
rfam:Parcubacteria bacterium GW2011_GWB1_45_10 TW89_C0008, whole genome shotgun sequence.